UAUAUUUUAGUGUAAGAGGCACAAAAGUUCUUGAUACUUUUAGCGAUAGUUUGAUUCUAUUAAAUAUAA
rnacentral:tRNA from 1 species